ensembl:rRNA 5S_rRNA 5S ribosomal RNA
GUCUAUGGCCAUGCUACCCUAAACAAGCCUGAUCCUGACUGAUCUCGGAAGCUAAACAGGAUUGGGCCCGGUUAGUACUUGGAUGGGAGACCACCUACGAAGACCAGGUGCCAUAGGUA